UACGGAGGGGGCAAGCGUUGUUCGGAAUUACUGGGCGUAAAGGGCGCGUAGGCGGCCCGCUAAGUCGAACGUGAAAUCCCCGGGCUCAACCCGGGAACUGCGUCCGAUACUGGCAGGCUUGAAUCCGGGAGAGGGAUGCGGAAUUCCAGGUGUAGCGGUGAAAUGCGUAGAUAUCUGGAGGAACACCGGUGGCGAAGGCGGCAUCCUGGACCGGCAUUGACGCUGAGGCGCGAAAGCCAGGGGAGCAAACGGG
rnacentral:rRNA from 1 species